rnacentral:rRNA from 1 species
GCCAUGCUAGUUGCACGAGUUGAGACUCGUAGCAGAUAGCUCAGUAACACGUGGCCAAACUACCCUAUGGAUCCGGACAACCUCGGGAAACUGAGGCUAAUCCGGAAUACGACUCUCAGCCUGGAAGUGGCGGGAGUCAGAAACGCCCCGGCGCCAUAGGAUGUGGCUGCGGCCGAUUAGGUAGACGGUGGGGUAACGGCCCACCGUGCCCAUAAUCGGUACGGGUUGUGAGAGCAAGAACCCGGAGACGGUAUCUGAGACAAGAUACCGGGCCCUACGGGGCGCAGCAGGCGCGAAACCUUUACACUGCACGAAAGUGCGAUAAGGGGACUCCAAGUGCGAGGGCAUAUAGUCCUCGCUUUUCACCACCGUAAGGAGGUGGUAGAAUAAGUGCUGGGCAAGACCGGUGCCAGCCGCCGCGGUAAUACCGGCAGCACGAGUGAUGACCGCUCUUAUUGGGCCUAAAGCGUCCGUAGCUGGCCACGCAAGUCUAUCGGGAAAUCCGCGCGCUCAACGCGCGGGCGUCCGGUGGAAACUGUGUGGCUUGGGACCGGAAGAUCCAGAGGGUACGUCUGGGGUAGGAGUGAAAUCCCGUAAUCCUGGACGGACCACCGGUGGCGAAAGCGCUCUGGAAAGACGGAUCCGACGGUGAGGGACGAAAGCUCGGGUCACGAACCGGAUUAGGUACCCGGGUAGUCCGAGCUGUAAACGAUGUCUGCUAGGUGUGCCACAGGCUACGAGCCUGUGGUGUGCCGUAGGGAAGCCGUGAAGCAGACCGCCUGGGAAGUACGUCCGCAAGGAUGAAACUUAA